rnacentral:rRNA from 1 species
ACUUUAAAUAGUUUUGUAAUUGGAAUGAGUUAAGUAUAAACCCCUUUACAAGUAUCAAUUGGAGGGCAAGUCUGGUGCCAGCAGCCGCGGUAAUUCCAGCUCCAAUAGCGUAUAUUAAAGUUGUUGCAGUUAAAAAGCUCGUAGUUGGAUUUCUGUUAAUAAUUUAUAUAUAAUAUUUUAUUAAUAUUUAUAUAGUAUUAACAUAAUUCAUAUUACUAUAUUUUAUAGUAUAUGAAAUUUUA